AGGCAUUUUUGUUCUUGUUCAUCAAGAACUUGAUGAACGUGAAUGAAUGUUCAUAGAGAGGGAGAAGAGAGUCAAAAGAGAGUAGGUUUUAGAAGAGAGAAAUGAAAGGAGAAGUGAGGUCGGGUGGGAUUGAUCUCUCCGCCUCUCUAUUUUGGUUUUAAGGGAGUUUUUUUCAAACUCUAGGCCUUGGGCCCUUAACCCAAUCUAUCACUUUUUUCCCACUAGACACCCCCUAUUAGUGUCUUGUGUAGUAGAUUGGGACUUAUGCUUAAAUCCCAUUAGUGUUUGCUUGACCACACCUCUUUUUCGAUCUCACCCCCUAUUGGUGUGAGAUAUUUAAAGUAUUGGACCUUUGUUGGGUCCUGGGCGCGCCACCUCCCCUUUUCAUGUUGGUACCUCUGCUUUGUUUGAUUUUUUUUUAUUUAUUCAUUUACGUUGGGACUUUAAGCCCAUUGUUUUAUUUUUUUUUGCUGAUACCCCUCUUAUAUUAUGGUGUUUUAAUUUUUCGUGCCAAAUUAUAUAUAUUCGGUGCUAAAUGUAAUUUACUUACAUUAGUCUUAAAUAAAUGUAAUUUGUCAUACUG